ensembl:lncRNA
AAUUCUCAUGGGCGUUGUUUGCCCAUCUCCCUCAGCCUCACCCUCUCUCUUAAAUGGCCCAGGAGCCAGGUCUCAUGCCUUCCUUUGGGCCAUGAGAUCAUAAGCAUGAUCAUUGUGAUGCUGUAAAUAUACUUUAGUUACCCCAGCUCUGCCAGACAUGGAAAUUCUCAGUCCACAGCGUGGGGUUGUAGAAAGCUAAGUUGCUCAUGUGUUAGGCCACACCAGCCCCAGGAACUGCUUCUGAAAGGCUGGAUAUGCUGGUAUGGAGUGAUGGCCAGUCCCCCACACCAGGCCCUGAAAUCAGGGUAGCUGGGCCUGCUGCUCAAGGUCCAACACAAACCCUCAAGAAACUGGGUGCUGGUCCCAGAUCUCCUUCUCAUCAUGGUCCAGAUGUGGACAACUGUCAUCUGCCCCUUCUGAUACAAACUGAAGGGAAAAUGGCAUGGCUGGUAGUUUGGAGACAUCAGUGGAAACAGGAUCACUUGAGUUAUUGGUAGGAGAGUUUAAAGACAUGCAAGAAUGGCAAGGCGAACAAGGCAGAAAAAGAAGGUCAUUGAGGAGGCAAGAAUCAUCUAGCUCCAAUGGGACAGGUACUCACUGAGUGCUUUCUUGCCAUGUUCCAGAUUCUAUUCUAGGCAACCAGACAACACAAAGUCCUACCUGGUAGGGUUGAUCCCAGUAGAAGAGAAAGACAACAGAGUGAAUAAAAAAGCAUCUUUCAGUCCAGCCAUUUUGACUAAUUAACAGAAACACCUUCAGAAUGUCCCUGCAGGGUGUUGCAAGUCUGUGUACUUUAAAUGAGGGGAGGGGGAGUGAAGGGUCCUGUCAAGGGCACUCUGCUUCAGCUCUUCCAAGUUGUCUGGAGUCUAGGCUCUUACAGAUGCCUGACUCCAUACAUGGGGUCCCAUCUCUUGAAGAACCAGCAGGGGUG